ensembl:lncRNA
GUUUUUACCUUUAGUCCCACCUUGCCACAUGCCUUCCUGCAGCAGAUGAUGAAGAUGGCCACUGGCAGCUCCUGCUGCAGCGACCCUGAAAAACCCCAGGAGCCCCAUCUCACCCCAUUGUGGCAACGCAGCCUCACAGCUCCUCAAAACCCUCUGCUGCUCCCCAUUAGACUUGUGCUCCAGACCCUUCACAGCUCCAUUGCGCUUCCUUGGAAGAGAAGAAAGGAAUAUUUCCUGGAGAAAACAUUGUGGGACAAAGAGUUAAAGUCUGGGCUCAUAAACGUCUCACUGGAUGAGCGCUAUUGCAAU